UACGGGGGGGGCAAGCGUUGUUCGGAAUUACUGGGCGUAAAGGGCGCGUAGGCGGCCAUCUAAGUCAGACGUGAAAUCCCUCGGCUCAACCGAGGAACUGCGUCUGAUACUGGAAGGCUUGAAUCCGGGAGAGGGAUGUGGAAUUCCAGGUGUAGCGGUGAAAUGCGUAGAUAUCUGGAGGAACACCGGUGGCGAAGGCGGCACCCUGGACCGGUAUUGACGCUGAGGCGCGAAAGCUAGGGGAGCAAACGGG
rnacentral:rRNA from 1 species